AUAACUUUUUUUUUUUUUUUUUUUUUUUUUUUCUAUUAAAAUUUAUUUUUUUGUUUAAUUUUUAUUUUUAAAAAUUUUUUAAUGAUUUUACUGUGAGGGUUUGAUUUUAAUUACUUUAAAGUAAAUAUUUUUUUUGUACCUUUUGUAUCAGGGUUAAUUAAUUUUUUUUUUGUAUGAAGUUUUCUCGAAAUUUUAAGAUCUCAAUUUAAUUGUGUUUUAUUGUUAUAUAAUUAUUUUUUAAUUAUUUUGAGUUCUGAUAUGGAAUUCAUUUAUUAUUAUAUCUAGUUUCUUUGAAUUGAAGUUUAAUUUUGGAUUAAUUUUUAAUUUUUUUUUUUUUUUUUUUUUUUUUUAAUCUUAAUUUAUUUGGGUUAAUCUUGAUAUUUACUUUAUAAUUUUUUUUUGUUGAAAUUUUGUAGGUUUAGAAUCUUCUAUCAUUUAAAGUUCGUUUAAGAUUUUUUUUUUUUUUACUUUUUAUUUAUUUUUAUACAUUGAUUUUUUAAUAAGCUAUUUUUUUUAUUUAUAAUGAUUAAAUUAGUAAAUUUUCAAAUUUUUUAUAUGAACUAGGCAAUUUUUAUUUUUUGCCUGUUUAUCAAAAACAUGUUCUUUAGAUUUUAUUUAAGGUUUCGCCUGCUCAAUGAUUAUUUUUAAAUAGCCGCGGUAAUUUAACUGUGCUAAGGUAGCAUAAUAAUUAGUCUUUUAAUUGAGGUCUUGUAUGAAUGGUUGGACAAGAAAAUCUCUUUAUUUAAUUUAUUUUUUUAAUUUAAUUUUAUAGUUAAAAAGCUUUAAUUUUUAAUUGGGACGAUAAGACCCUGUAGAUCUUUAAAAUUAUUAUUUAAUAUUUUUUUUUGUUUAUUUAAUUUUUAUUUUCUUUUAAUUUUUUAGUUGGGGUGAUUUUUAAAUUUUUAUAACUUUAUUUUUUUUUUACAUUUAUUUAUGUAUAUUUGAUCCUUUAGUUUUGAUUUUUAGAUUAAGAUACCUCAGGGAUAACAGCGUUUAUUUUUUGGAAAGUUCUUAUUGAUAAUUAAAUUGCGACCUCGAUGUUGGAUUAAUAUAAGUUUUUGGUGUAGAUGAUAUUUAACUAGGUCUGUUCGACCUUUAAAAUUUUACAUGAUCUGAGUUCAAAUCGGCGUGAGCCAGAUUGGUUUCUAUCUAUUUAUUUUUUUAUUUGAUUAGUACGAAAGGACUUUUGAAUUAAUAAUAUUUAUU
rnacentral:rRNA from 1 species